rnacentral:rRNA from 1 species
GACGAACGCUGGCGGCGUGCUUAACACAUGCAAGUCGAACGAAGAGCGAUGGAAGCUUGCUUCUAUCAAUCUUAGUGGCGAACGGGUGAGUAACGCGUAAUCAACCUGCCCUUCAGAGGGGGACAACAGUUGGAAACGACUGCUAAUACCGCAUACGAUCUAACCUCGGCAUCGAGGAUAGAUGAAAGGUGGCCUCUACAUGUAAGCUAUCACUGAAGGAGGGGAUUGCGUCUGAUUAGCUAGUUGGAGGGGUAACGGCCCACCAAGGCGAUGACCAGUAGCCGGUCUGGGAGGAUGAACGGCCACAUUGGGAAUGAGACACGGCCCAGACUCCUACGGGAGGCCGCAGUGGGGAAUCUUCCGCAAUGGACGAAAGUCUGACGGAGCAACGCCGCGUGAGUGAUGACGGCCUUCGGGUUGUAAAGCUCUGUUAAUCGGGACGAAAGGCCUUCUUGCGAAUAGUUAGAAGGAUUGACGGUACCGGAAUAGAAAGCCACGGCUAACUACGUG